CCACUUCAGUCAGUCUACUUUCACUUUCCUUUGACUGUAAACGGUUUUUGAUCAAGCUAGGCUAGACUGACGAUAGAUCAAUAUAUAUCUGAAAGUAUUUGGGGGUUUUUUCAUCCCAGCGUCUCUUUUGCUCCCGAAGACCCCAUUUGCACAGCAGGUGAAAUCAUGGAUGGUUUGCUUAAGGAAAUAAGAAGCAAGGACCAAGCAGCCGCCUCUGUACUGGAACAGGCGGAUUUACGCAGUGACUCAGAUCUCCAGUCACUGACUUUACAAGACCUGGGUUUGCUGUUCCCUGGAGUUAAAAAUGUCAAACUGAGAAGGGAUAUCUUUGAUAUAAUACACAAGCAGAAAUCAAUUGGUGAGCUCAUAGAAAAAUCCAAGCACUUCAUCCCACAUGACUCUCUCAGGGCUGCCUUAACUGAAAAUGGAGUUUUGGUCGACUACCUGAAAAUGUUGAAGGAAAUGAAGACCCAAAUGAAUAAAGAUUUCCUUGAUCCGCAUAUCAAUCUACUGGAGGACUUCAGGAAAUCUCAACCAUCGCAGGACCAGGACAAAGGUGAAAUCAUGGAUAUUUUGCUUAAGGAAAUAAGACGCAAGGAUGAAGUGGCAGCCAAUAAACUGGAAGAAACCAAUUGGUGUGCUCAUAGAAAAAUUCAAGGACUUCAUCCCACAUGAAUCUUUCAGGGCUGCCUUAACUGAAAAUGGAGUUUUGGUUGACUACCUGAAAAUGUUGAAGGAAAUGAAGAUCCAAUUGAAUAAAGUGCAAGAUUUCCUUGAUGCACAUAUCAAUCUACUGGAGGACCUCAGGAAAUCUCAACCAUUGCAGAACCAGGACAAAGGUUCUUCGUCAAGUGGUCCAGUGAAGCGCCACAAUAGCCAAACCAGUGACCCUCCACAAAUGCAACAAGAGGAAAACGUUUUGCAUAAAGAAAAAAGACACAAGGAUGAAAAAGCAGCAGGUUCUUCGUCAAGUAGUGAGAAUAGCCAAACUAGUGACCUUCCAGAAAUACAACAAGCCACACUGAAGUACAAGAUGGUGAUAAGUGGAAAAACCUUUAAUGCCCAUCAACAGAUACUGGAAAAAGUAAAGGCUUUAAAUGAGGAUCCAGAUUUGAAUUUGAUCGAACAGGAAGACAGCAAUCAGGAUUGCCAGGCCAUUAUUGUCUUCUGUCCCAUUGUUUCACGUAUGGGGACAGAUAUUGAUGCAGCCAUGACGCAAGUCAAAGGUUCUCAGCCUGUCAUUCUGGUUUUGAUGCAUCACGCACAUGAACCCAAGCAUGUAACUUUAAUGAAAAUACAGAAUAAUGUUUCUAAUGUUGUGUUACCUUUCCAUGUUUUCUACCAUGAGACAGUGCAUGGAUUGUUGCAGUGUCAGCAAAAUAACGAUGCCAUUUCUGAAAUUCGAAAGGCAUUACUGAAGCACGCAGAUAUCCAGACAAUUAAAGAUACAAGUGGAAAGACACAGAAUGUAGCUGCUAAAAGUAGUAAUCGUGGUGGGAGUUUUAUUUUUCGUUUUUGGUAAAUAAUGAUAGUGUAAAUUCAGAUAUUACAAGUCAAAGAAACUGUAUAUAUAUCCCAUGCAUUACUCUUUUGUAAUCUAAUUUUUUUUGCGCUGUAUCACUUCAGUAGUGUAGAUUGCUCUGACCAUUUGAGUAGGAAGCGAAAAUUUUAUGGUUUUGAUCAUGCAAAAUAAUUAUUUUGUACAUUGUGAAACAAAAGGACAGCACAGAAUCGUCUUUGUGACCUUUAUUUCAGUACUUUAAGAUAUUUCAGCUGUAAGGGUAGUUGCAGAGUCAACAGGUGUGAUCAUGAAGUGUCAAAGAAGAGGUCAGAGACACAGUAUAUGGGUGUAGAUAGUCAUAAAACUACUUUCAACUGUACCAACUGCUGUUUAUCUCUAAAAACAAAAGUGACAGCUACAGCUGUAUGUACACAGUGACAUCGUAAGUCCUUUGAUCAUUAAGAUAAAUAAUAAAUAUAUUUAUAUCAAAGUCAAACAUAUUGUGAUUAGUUUCACGGUUGCUAUGUAAAUCUGCAAGUUAUUUUCAUCUUUCAGAAAAAAAAAAUCAAGCCAAUGUUUAAAAUUGUGAAUAAAAAUGUAAAAAAACAUCUGUUGUCUUCUUUUUCUUUUUUCCUUUUUUUUUUUUUUUUUUUUUAAAUUGAGGGGUCCUGAACAGUUCAAAACACCAGUGUAUUUACAGUAUAAUUUAACCUAGUUCAGCUAAUAUUUCUGCUGUUAUUUUCUAUAUUCUUGACUUUUAUUCACUCUAAGAAAGACUAAAGAGUGCAAAGACCACAUAUUCAAUGAUAAGCCACUUUAUACAUGUUUACAUUAUAUUCAUAGAAAAUGAAAAAUUGUGUGUGACAAACUUUUUUUUUCUUUUUUCUUUUCUUUUCUUUUUUUUCUUUCCCUUUUUUUUCUUUUUGGCUGGUGUAAAGUUUGUCAUCUAAAUAAAAUGCCCUUUGUCUCCGGUUCUGUUCAUAAUUUUUAUGGACAGGAUUUCUAGGCGCAGCCAAGUGGCGGAGGGCUUUCGCUUUGGUGGCCUCAGAAUCUCAUCUCUGAUUUUUGCAGAUGAUGUGGUUCUGUUGGCUUCAUCGGGUGAAGGCCUCCAGCUCGCACUGGAACGGUUCGCAGCCGAGUGUGAAGCAGCGGGAAUGAGGAUCAGCACCUCCAAAUCUGAGGCCAU
ensembl:lncRNA